rnacentral:lncRNA from 1 species
UUUUGAAAGAAGAGUGCUUUUGAAAUGUUAUGGUAUGUCAAUUUAUGCGCAUGUUCAGUGAAAAAUUAUGAUAUACUAUGAUACAAAGUGUUUUGAUACAUAUCGGAUUUUUGCUCUCAGCCUAACUAUGUUUCAGUGGGCCCCGCCAAUGGGGAUUAUACGUUGGUACUCAGUGGACCCUGCCAAUGGGGGUUGUGCGCUGGUGUUUGUGGACCCUGCCAGUGGGAGUUGUGCGCUGGUAUUUGUGGACCCUACCAGUGGGGGUUGUGCGCUGGUAUUCUGUGGACCCCAUCAAUGGGGGUUAAACGUUGGUCAUAGUCAAGGCUGUUGAGUUACGAGUGUUUUGAAUCGAAUCAAAUUUAUGAUUAUAUUAUAUGUGAAUAUUUGAAAAUAUUUGGUUUGUAUUAAAUCAGCAUGAAAUAUACUCUUAUGUUUAUUUGCAGCAUUAUUCUUG